GUGCUCGCUUUGGCAGCACAUACACUAAAAUUGGAAUGAUACAGAGAAGAUUAGCAUGGCUCUUGCACGCCAGAUGACAGUAAAUUUGUGAAGCAUUCCAUAAAUUU
rnacentral:snRNA from 1 species